GAACACUGUGCGGGACAAAUUUGCCAUUCCGGUAUCGGCAAAUCUGACUUUGUCGGUUUACAAGAUAUCAAAAAAAAAAUUUGCCCAGUGAUAGAUUAUUGAAAAAUUAAAAAAAUGCCAUAUGUCCCAACUUGUCACUGUUGUCACUCUUGUCACUGCAGCUGAUUAAAAGUACAUUUCCCAUGGGAAAUUUGAUAAUUCCCAUGGGAAUAUUAGAAUUUCCCAUGGGAACAUUGAAAGUUCCCAUGGGAAAAAUUACUUUUCCCAUGGGAAGUUUAGAGUUCCCAUAGGAACUUUAAAGUUCCCAUGGGAACAUAAGUAAAUUGUUU
rnacentral:lncRNA from 1 species